rnacentral:lncRNA from 1 species
GACCGUGGCCUUGACCCCCAAUGUCGAAGUUGCUACCAUCAUUGCUGCUGCAUUUUACGGACUUUGGAAUCUCUUCUCAGGAUUCAUCAUCGCCCGACCUGUAAGUUCUUGAUUAUCAUACAACGUCAAUUUCAAUCAAAAAUAUCUUAGUUGCAAUAUUUUUUUCAAAAAUACUGUGCAACCUCAGUUGCAACUGUUCUAAGUUCUAACCGAAAAAUCUAAAUACUUUAAACUAGUUUUGCAACCUCAUAUGCAAUUUUAACCGUAUUUUUUGAGAAAGGAUUUCAAAGAUUUUUGCACAUUUUCAAGGACUUAACAUAUUUUUUUCAAAAAAAAAACAAAUAAACAGGCUUUUCUCAAAAAUACCUAAAUUACAAAAAAUAAUUCCAAAAAUACGACGUUAUCUUAUAUGCAACUUCAGUUACAAUUGUUUUAACCUGAAAAUCAGCUACUUUCAACCAGUUUUGCAACCUCACAUGCAACUUUAAUCGUACUUUUGUCCCGACAUCUAACGUUAUGUUUUUGGCCUUACUGUUCGACAACAGAGCAUGCCUGUCUGGUGGAGAUGGUUU